rnacentral:rRNA from 1 species
AGCGGCGGACGGGUGAGUAACGCGUGGGUAGCCUGCCCUGUACACACGGAUAACAUACCGAAAGGUAUGCUAAUACGAGAUAAUAUGCUUUUGUCGCAUGGUAGAAGUAUCAAAGCUUUUGCGGUACAGGAUGGACCCGCGUCUGAUUAGCUAGUUGGUAAGGUAACGGCUUACCAAGGCGACGAUCAGUAGCCGACCUGAGAGGGUGAUCGGCCACAUUGGAACUGAGACACGGUCCAAACUCCUACGGGAGGCAGCAGUGGGGAAUAUUGCACAAUGGGCGAAAGCCUGAUGCAGCAACGCCGCGUGAGCGAUGAAGGCCUUCGGGUCGUAAAGUUCUGUCCUCAAGGAAGAUAAUGACGGUACUUGAGGAGGAAGCCCCGGCUAACUACGUGCCAGCAGCCGCGGUAAUACGUAGGGGGCUAGCGUUAUCCGGAAUUACUGGGCGUAAAGGGUGCGUAGGUGGUUUCUUAAGUCAGAGGUGAAAGGCUACGGCUCAACCGUAGUAAGCCUUUGAAACUGGGAAACUUGAGUGCAGGAGAGGAGAGUGGAAUUCCUAGUGUAGCGGUGAAAUGCGUAGAUAUUAGGAGGAACACCAGUUGCGAAGGCGGCUCUCUGGACUGUAACUGACACUGAGGCACGAAAGCGUGGGGAGCAAACAGGAUUAGAUACCCUGGUAGUCCACGCCGUAAACGAUGAGUACUAGCUGU